rnacentral:rRNA from 1 species
GAUGAACGCUGGCGGCGUGCCUAAUACAUGCAAGUCGAGCGAACAGAUGAGGAGCUUGCUCCUCUGACGUUAGCGGCGGACGGGUGAGUAACACGUGGAUAACCUACCUAUAAGACUGGGAUAACUUCGGGAAACCGGAGCUAAUACCGGAUAAUAUAUUGAACCGCAUGGUUCAAUAGUGAAAGACGGUUUUGCUGUCACUUAUAGAUGGAUCCGCGCCGCAUUAGCUAGUUGGUAAGGUAACGGCUUACCAAGGCAACGAUGCGUAGCCGACCUGAGAAGGUGAUCGGCCACACUGGAACUGAGACACGGUCCAGACUCCUACGGGAGGCAGCAGUAGGGAAUCUUCCGCAAUGGGCGAAAGCCUGACGGAGCAACGCCGCGUGAGUGAUGAAGGUCUUCGGACCGUAAAACUCUGUUAUUAGGGAAGAACAAAUGUGUAAGUAACUAUGCACGUCUUGACGGUACCUAAUCAGAAAGCCACGGCUAACUACGUG